rnacentral:rRNA from 1 species
AUUGAACGCUGGCGGCAUGCCUUACACAUGCAAGUCGAACGGCAGCACGGGGGCAACCCUGGUGGCGAGUGGCGAACGGGUGAGUAAUACAUCGGAACGUGCCCAGUAGUGGGGGAUAGCCCGGCGAAAGCCGGAUUAAUACCGCAUACGACCUACGGGUGAAAGCGGGGGAGUCNCAAGACCUCGCGCUAUCGGAGCGGCCGAUGUCAGAUUAGGUUGUUGGUGGGGUAAAAGCCCACCAAGCCGACGAUCUGUAGCUGGUCUGAGAGGACGACCAGCCACACUGGGACUGAGACACGGCCCAGACUCCUACGGGAGGCAGCAGUGGGGGAAUUUUGGACAAUGGGGCGCAAGCCUGAUCCAGCCAUGCCGCGUGACGGGAAGAAGGCC